AGAGUUUGAUCAUGGCUCAGAACGAACGCUGGCGGCAGGCCUAACACAUGCAAGUCGAACGCGCGUAGCAAUACGCGAGUGGCGCACGGGUGAGUAACACGUGGGAAUCAACCCAGAGGUUCGGAAUAACCGCGGGAAACUGCGGCUAAUACCGGAUAUCCCCUACGGGGGAAGGAUUUAUCGCCUUUGGACGAGCCCGCGUCCGAUUAGCUAGUUGGUGAGGUAAUGGCUCACCAAGGCUACGAUCGGUAGCUGGUCUGAGAGGACGACCAGCCACACUGGAACUGAGACACGGUCCAGACUCCUACGGGAGGCAGCAGUGGGGAAUAUUGGGCAAUGGAGGCAACUCUGACCCAGCCAUGCCGCGUGGGUGACGAAGGUCUUCGGAUUGUAAAGCCCUUUCGGCGGGGACGAUGAUGACGGUACCCGCAGAAGAAGCCCCGGCUAACUUCGUGCUAGCAGCCGCGGUAAUAC
rnacentral:rRNA from 1 species